rnacentral:rRNA from 1 species
ACCCUGCACUUACAAGCUGUGGAAGCACAUUUCUUGUGUGACCGCGUACUUUUUGUAGAACGGGCCAACGAGUUACGUUAAGUAGCAAGGUUAAGCACUUAAGGUGUGGAGCCGUAGCGAAAGCGAGGUUUAACUGAGCGGUCAGUUACUUGACGUAGACCCGAAACCGGGCGACCUACCCAUGAGCAGGAUGAAGCGAAAGUAAAAUUUCGUGGAGGUCCGAACCCACGAGCG